GGUCAAGGGAGCACCAUUCUGCUCUGUGGAUGGGUGUUGCAUGCCCCACAGUCAUAUGAGUUGACUGCAGCCAACUAAAUCUUUACACCCACUUCAUUACGACUUCAGUCUACACCAUCUACACCAGGGUGCACUUUCUUUUCUACUGAUUUGCUUAGCCAGCCUACAAGAUAAUGGAUCCCACCGCACCAUUUCCAUACAGGGAUAAUUACUCUGACUGCAAGGUGGACGCCCAGUGAAGCUCUUGUUCUUGUUUUGUUUCUUGUGCUCCUGGGGGUGAAUCCAGUGCCUCGUGUAUGUCAGAUGAGCAUUCCACUCCUGAGCCACAUCGCCAGCUGGCCUUGAACCUGAGAGCAGCUUUUCUCAGGGUGGGGACAAAGAAGCUUCGUCUAUUAUUCUCCUAGCACUCUGGGCAUCUCUCUCAUUGCUUCUGGCUGCACAGACUUGCUGCCCUCCAUGCUGCUCUGCAGAUGACAGAUGGGCUGUCAGGAGAAAACCGAGAAGUGCCCGAGGCCCUGAGCGGUCACCACCUUACCACAUGUGACAGUGUCUACCCUGGCUUCAGCGACUGGCUGUGCUACUACAACAUCCCUGCUUAUGUCUUCCAUGUUUAUCUGUGAAGAAAGCAUGGAGUUGCAAACUAGAACAAAGGGGACAGCACAAUGCAAUACAAUUAAGACUUAGGUCCACUGGCUUCUUUCUGUAUCUUUGUUGUUGUUAAUUUUUGAGUUUUGCUAUGCCCGGGGUGGCCAUCUUCGAAAUCCUCCUACCUCAGACUCUUGAGUUCUAAGGUUAUUGGACUGCCUCAUCAUGCUCAUCUGCUUUUUUAAAAUUUGUUUUAAUGUGACCACUAAAAAAAUUGCUAAGGGUGGGGCAUGGUGUCCCAUGCCUUUAAUGUCAGCACUCAGAAGGCAGACCUCUAUACUAAUUAUAAUAAUUAUUAUUUAAAUCAUACGUGGAUUAUACCACAUUCUUCUGGAUGGAGGGGCCCUAGAGGACUCUAGCUGCUUUUUAGAUGAAGCACAUACAUAGGAUUUUAAAAUACUUAAACUAUGGGGGCAUUACCAACAGCCUAUACCCUUCUCCUAGGCCUUCAUUUCUUUCUCUUGGAAGCAUAUUUUUUCUGCUAAAGACCAAAACCUCCAGGAUUUUGAGAACUAGAGAUAAAAAAGGGACGAGGGAAGGAGGCAGCCCCGGAAGUGCCUUUGCCAUAUGGUGGGGAGUGCAGUGAACAACUGUCACUUUCACACUCGCAUGUGACAGGGAGAAAGCAAGUCACUGGUAAAUUGUGAUGU